AUGGACCUCUUCUUCGGGCCCCGCCUCCAGCCCCCGCCGCCACCGCCCAAGGCCCAGAACCAGAACCCUCCUCCGCUCCCCGCGUCCGCGCCCGCGCCCGCGCCUGCCAUGACGCAGGCCCUGCCCCAGCCCCAGCUCCCGCUCGAGGUGCAGCAGCAGCAGCAGAUGCUGCAGAUGCAGCAGCAGCAGUUCGCGGCGAUUCAGCCGCAGUUCAUCUUCCAGACCAUGCCCCAGCUCCCGCCCGUCGUCUCAGGAGGAGGCGCCGCCGCCACCAACAACGCCGCCGCUGUCUCCGCGCCGCCGCCGGCCGUGCCGGCCAUGGCCUUCUACCCGCCGCCGCCGCUCGCCUUCCGCUACGCCAACGCCCUCGGCGGGGUCGCCACUGGUGGGACCGUCUCCUUCCAGCAGCCCGCCCCUGGGGUCGGGGCCAUCACUUCCCCCACAGCUGCGCCACAGGCCGCCGGUGACAACAAGGAAAGUGCCUCUAAGAGAAAGAGAGGUGGGCCUGGUGGCUUAAACAAAGUUUGUGCAAUUUCACCUGAACUUCAGACUGUUGUUGGCGAGACUGCCAUGUCAAGAACUCAGAUUGUGAAGCAGUUAUGGGCAUAUAUCAGGCAGAAUAAUCUUCAGGAUCCUGAUGACAAAAGGAAGAUUAUAUGCAAUGAUGAACUUCGUAUCGUUUUUGGAACUGACUCCACAGACAUGUUUAAGAUGAACAAAUUGUUGGCCAAGCACAUAACUCCUCUUGACCCAAAAGAUCAACCUUCGGAAGCAAAAAAGAUUAAGGCUACCAAUGCAACUCCUCAACAAAUGCCUACUAUAAAUCAAAAUCAGCCCUAUGUGGUUGUUUCUGAUGCGCUAGCCAAAUUCCUUGGUGUAGAAGGAACAGUGCCGCAUGAUGAUGCCCUCAAGUAUCUUUGGGAUUACAUAAAAGCAAAUCAGCUUGAGGAUCCUGCGAGUGCGUCAAUACUAUGUGAUUCCAGUCUGCAAGAGCUGUUCGGCUGCGAGAGCAUUCCAGCUUCAGGAUUACCAGACUUGCUUGCUCACCAUUUCAUCCAAAGGACAUAG
rnacentral:rRNA from 1 species